AUUUAUUCUUUGCUUUCCAAAUAGAAUCCCUUGGAUGGUUCCCAUAUAUAGUUUGGAUAGUUGGGUAACUCUGAUAAAACCCAGCACUGCCAUAUAUUUGAAUACUUUCCUCCGAGAGUGCUAUGAAGCAUAUGUUAUCUAUAAUUUCAUGAUCUUCCUGAACAACUACCUAACUAGUCAAUAUCCAGAUGUGAUAGCGGUCCUUGAAUCAAAAGAACAACAAAAACAUACCCUGCCUUUUUGUUGCUUUCCACCAUGAGAGAUGGAUGACUCGUCAAUCUCAUCAACUCCAUCACCAGAAUAGUCGUACUCUGAUAUGAAUUUCAAAUUCCUUGAGAAGCUGCCCGACAAAUUGUUAAACAGUACUCCACUUGCCCUCAGUUUUCUUCUGUUCUGCAUUAUGGUGUUAAUCCUCAAGGUUUGCUUCCUAAUCAACUAUGGCAAAUGGAUGUUACUCAUGUAAUGGAGUUUGGAAAACAAAGGUAUGUACAUGUUGUUGAUACCUUUUCAGGAAUAUUCUUGCUUCAGCUCAAACAGGAGAAGCUACUAAACAUAUUAUUGCU